CCUACGGGUGGCAGCAGUGGGGAAUAUUGCGCAAUGGGCGAAAGCCUGACGCAGCGACGCCGCGUGAGGGAUGAAGGUCUUCGGAUCGUAAACCUCUGUCAGCAGGGAAGAACGGUCACUGUGCUAAUCAGCAGUGAAUUGACGGUACCUGCAAAGGAAGCACCGGCUAACUCCGUGCCAGCAGCCGCGGUAAUACGGAGGAUGCGAGCGUUAUCCGGAUUUAUUGGGUUUAAAGGGUGCGUAGGCGGAAUAUCAAGUCAGCGGUAAAAAUUCGGGGCUCAACCCCGUCGUGCCGUUGAAACUGAUGUUCUUGAGUGGGCGAGAAGUAUGCGGAAUGCGUGGUGUAGCGGUGAAAUGCAUAGAUAUCACGCAGAACUCCGAUUGCGAAGGCAGCAUACCGGCGCCCAACUGACGCUGAAGCACGAAAGCGUGGGUAUCGAACAGGAUUAGAUACCCUGGUAGUC
rnacentral:rRNA from 1 species